rnacentral:rRNA from 1 species
CUCAGAAUCAACGCUGGCGGCGUGCCUAACACAUGCAAGUCGAACGAGAAAGUGGAGCAAUCCAUGAGUACAGUGGCGUACGGGUGAGUAACACGUGACUAACCUACCCUCGAGUGGGGAAUAACCUCGGGAAACCGGGGCUAAUACCGCAUAACAUCUUCGGAUCAAAUGCGUAAGCAGCUUGAGGAGGGGGUCGCGGCCGAUUAGCUAGUUGGCGGGGUAAUGGCCCACCAAGGCAAUGAUCGGUAGCCGGCCUGAGAGGGCGCACGGCCACACUGGAACUGAAACACGGUCCAGACUCCUACGGGAGGCAGCAGUGGGGAAUUUUGCGCAAUGGGGGAAACCCUGACGCAGCAACGCCGCGUGGAGGAUGAAGCCCUUUGGGGCGUAAACUCCUUUCGAUCGGGACGAUUAUGACGGUACCGGAAGAAGAAGCACCGGCUAACUCUGUGCCAGCAGCCGCGGUAAUACAGAGGGUGCAAGCGUUGUUCGGAAUUAUUGGGCGUAAAGGGUGCGUAGGCGGUGCGGUAAGUCUGCUGUGAAAUCUCCGGGCUCAACCCGGAGCCUGCAUGAGAAACUGCCGGGCUUGAGUAUGGGAGAGGUGAGUGGAAUUUCCGGUGUAGCGGUGAAAUGCGUAGAUAUCGGAAGGAACACCUGUGGCGAAAGCGGCUCACUGGGCCAUAACUGACGCUGAUGCACGAAAGCUAGGGGAGCAAACAGGAUUAGAUACCCUGGUAGUCCUAGCCCUAAACGAUGACUGCUUGGUGUGACGGGUACCCAAUCCCGCCGUGCCGUAGCUAACGCGUUAAGCAGUCCGCCUGGGGAGUACGGUCGCAAGGCUGAA